rnacentral:rRNA from 1 species
GAUGAACGCUAGCGAUAGGCCCAACACAUGCAAGUCGAGGGGCAGCAUAGAGUAGCAAUACUUUGAUGGCGACCGGCGCACGGGUGAGUAACACGUAUGCAACCUACCUACAUCAGGGGAAUAACCCGGAGAAAUUCGGACUAAUACCGCAUAAUACAGGGAUGCCGCAUGGCAAUAUUUGUUAAAGAUUUAUCGGAUGUAGAUGGGCAUGCGUUCCAUUAGCUAGUUGGUAAGGUAACGGCUUACCAAGGCAACGAUGGAUAGGGGAACUGGGAGGUUUGUCCCCCAAACUGGAACUGAGACACGGACCAGACUCCUACGGGAGGCAGCAGUGAGGAAUAUUGGUCAAUGGACGAGAGUCUGAACCAGCCAAAUCGCGUGAAGGAAGACUGCCCUACGGGUUGUAAACUUCUUUUGUACAGGAAUAAAAGACAUUACGUGUAAUGUAUUGCAUGUACUGUACGAAUAAGCAUCGGCUAACUCCGUGCCAGCAGCCGCGGUAA